rnacentral:misc_RNA from 1 species
AAGUCGUAACAAGGUAACCGUAGGUGAACCUGCGGUUGGAUCAUUAAAAAAUCUAGAGAGGGCCAACCAGCCCUUCUCAAACAUUUUGUGAACAGUUUAUUGUCUCUUGUGGAGGAAACUCCACACCAUGAACCUAGUAUUAAUUCUUGCCUCUAUUUGCUUUUUAUAAUUAAAAACAACUUUUGACAACGGAUCUCUAGGCUCUC